rnacentral:rRNA from 1 species
UACGUAGGGGGCAAGCGUUGUCCGGAUUCAUUGGGCGUAAAGAGCGUGUAGGCGGCCAGGUAGGUCGGUUGUGAAAACUGGAGGCUCAACCUUCAGAGGUCGACCGAAACCAUCUGGCUAGAGUCCGGGAGAGGAGAGUGGAAUUCCUGGUGUAGCGGUGAAAUGCGCAGAUAUCAGGAAGAACACCCGUGGCAAAAGCGGCUCUCUGGAACGGUACUGACGCUGAGACGCGAAAGCGUGGGGAGCGAACAGG